UGCGUAGGUGGCCUUUUAAGUUGGAUGUGAAAUACCCGGGCUUAACUUGGGGGUGGCAUCUAAUACUGGAGGGCUAGAGUGCAGGAGAGGAAAGCGGAAUUCCUAGUGUAGCGGUGAGAUGCGUAGAUAUUAGGAGGAACACCAGUGGCGAAGGCGGCUUUCUGGACUGUAACUGACACUGAGGCACGAAAGCGUGGGGAGCAAACA
rnacentral:rRNA from 1 species